ACAUUUUCUCUGUGCAACACAAAACCUCUGCGAGCCUAGCCUCUUCCUGCUUCUGGGGCACAAGAUCAUGAAGACCCUGAGUGGCUAAUUAAGGUUUGGUGUAGGACUGGCAAGAUGGUUCUGCAGGCCAGCGCAGCUCAGGCCUCGUGGGAGGAGCUUCUUUGUGAAGAGGUGGUGGCUGAUGCAGAAGCUCAGCUGCUCGCAUUGCCUGUGGAGUGCUCAGCCGCAAACGGGACCCUGCAUAGGAGGCUGUCCCCACCCACCCCAGACUCAGAGCCCGUCGUGGAAGAGGUGGCAGAAAGGCUGGAGCUUCUAGCCUUAAUGCCGCGCUCCUCCAGAGCAGCAUCUGGAACCGG